rnacentral:sRNA from 1 species
AUUCUGCCCAUGCGGGGAAGGAUGAGAAGCUUCGACCAAGGUUCGACUCGAGCGCCAGCGAGAGAGCGUGGCCGCAGGC